AGCUAGCUCUUGGUGGCUGAUCUUGCAAACUUUCUACAAAUGUACUAAGUUCGCAUCUGAGGAUUCGCACGGAGUGAACAAGGCUGUAACAGCGUCGCCUCAUUCCGGCGUCGUUGUCCAAGCCAUGUGCCAGUUUCCUGUCUGCAAAAGUUGGCUCCACUUGCGUUCUGUGAGUGGAACAUCGGGUUCCCAAGAUCGGCCGGAUCUUAUUCCUUUUUCUGCCUGUUGUUUCAUCAUCGCCUCCUCCCACGGUGGUUUCAUUCAUCACAUCUUAUCUGGGCCUGGGCAUCAUUCUUUACCUCCUAGGCCAC
rnacentral:misc_RNA from 1 species